rnacentral:tRNA from 1 species
GGGGAUAUGGCGGAAUGGCAGACGCGGCGGACUCAAAAUCCGUUGGUUUCGACCGUGAGGGUUCGAGUCCCUCUAUCCCCA